GGGGUUGUGGCUCAGUGGUAGAGCACUCGCCUAGUACACGUGAGGCACCGGGUUCUAUUCUCAGCACCA
rfam:Ictidomys tridecemlineatus contig056403, whole genome shotgun sequence.